rnacentral:tRNA from 1 species
GCCGGUUUGGCUCAGUGGAUAGAGCGUCAGCCUGUGGACCGAAGGGUACCGGGUUCGAUUCCGGUCAGGGGCA